UACGUAGGGACCAAGCGUUGUUCGGAUUUACUGGGCGUAAAGGGCGCGUAGGCGGCAAAUUAAGUCAGCUGUGAAAUCUCCGAGCUUAACUCGGAACUGUCAGCUGAUACUGAUGUGCUAAAGUGCGGAAGGGGCAAUCGGAAUUCUUGGUGUAGCGGUGAAAUGCGUAGAUAUCAAGAGGAACACCUGAGGUGAAGACGGGUUGCUGGGCCGACACUGACGCUGAGUGCGCGAAAGCCAGGGGAGCAAACGGG
rnacentral:rRNA from 1 species